UACGGGGGGGGCAAGCGUUGUUCGGAAUUACUGGGCGUAAAGGGCUCGUAGGCGGCCAACUAAGUCAUGCGUGAAAUCCCUCGGCUUAACCGGGGAACUGCGUCUGAUACUGGAUGGCUUGAGUUCGGGAGAGGGAUGCGGAAUUCCAGGUGUAGCGGUGAAAUGCGCAGAUAUCGGGAGGAACACCGGUGGCGAAGGCGGUUCUCUGGGCCUUACCUGACGCUGAGGAGCGAAAGCGUGGGGAGCGAACAGG
rnacentral:rRNA from 1 species